rnacentral:rRNA from 1 species
UGGCUAGACGAGGGCUUAACUGUCUCCUCCCCCCAGUCAAUGAAAUUGAUCUCCCCGUGCAGAAGCGGGGAUCCACCCAUAAGACGAGAAGACCCUAUGGAGCUUUAGACACUAGGCAGCCCACGUUACACCCCCUCUCCUAAGAGGAGAAAACAUUGUGGCCCCUGUCUCCCCUGUCUUCGGUUGGGGCGACCGCGGAGGAUAAAAGAGCCUCCAUGUGGACCAAGGUUACGAACCUCACAACUAAGGGCCACCGCCCUAAGCAACAGAAAUUCUGACCAAAAUGAUCCGGCACAAUGCCGAUUAACGGAACAAGUUACCCUAGGGAUAACAGCGCAAUCCUCUCCCAGAGUCCCUAUCGACGAGGGGGUUUACGACCUCGAUGUUGGAUCAGGACAUCCUAUUGGUGCAGCC